rnacentral:sRNA from 1 species
UUGAUUACAUUGAUUGUGCUGAGCUA